GAUGAACGCUGGCGGCGUGCCUAAUACAUGCAAGUCGAGCGAACAGACGAGGAGCUUGCUCCUCUGACGUUAGCGGCGGACGGGUGAGUAACACGUGGAUAACCUACCUAUAAGACUGGGAUAACUUCGGGAAACCGGAGCUAAUACCGGAUAAUAUAUUGAACCGCAUGGUUCAAUAGUGAAAGACGGUUUUGCUGUCACUUAUAGAUGGAUCCGCGCCGCAUUAGAUAGUUGGUAAGGUAACGGCUUACCAAGGCAACGAUGCGUAGCCGACCUGAGAGGGUGAUCGGCCACACUGGAACUGAGACACGGUCCAGACUCCUACGGGAGGCAGCAGUAGGGAAUCUUCCGCAGUGGGCGAAAGCCUGACGGAGCAACGCCGCGUGAGUGAUGAAGGUCUUCGGAUCGUAAAACUCUGUUAUUAGGGAAGAACAAAUGUGUAAGUAACUAUGCACGUCUUGACGGUACCUAAUCAGAAAGCCACGGCUAACUACGUG
rnacentral:rRNA from 1 species